UUCUUUUUUUUCACUUCAUGAUUCUCCUUCUGUGUUUAACUUUGGCAAUAAAGAAUUAUAAUCCAUGCCAUUAAGGCAGUCUAAAUUAGAGAGAGGAGAGAAUAUAGUGAAUACAGACAAAGAGAACGAUUAAAGCGCUAGGAUUCUUGACGAGGUCUGUAGAGUCCACUGGUACACUAUGUCCUUAUCAUUACCUAUAUACAUCAGAAUACAGCUUAGGCUUACAUACACAAUAACAAAGUGACAGAGAAGCACUUGAACACUGACGAUUCGACCUUAAGCUCUGAUACAAAUGCUGACGGAGCGGGGUCUGGGUUUUGAGCGGAAACAAAGAGUGGGCUGAAACAGGAGGGCAAGUUUGUGAUGGGUAUAAACGUUUGGAUCAGACCUGAGAAAAAAGGCUAACUGAAGGGAACCCAACGACAUCCAGAACAGACUCUAAUCCUCCUCCUGUAAUCCUGUAUGGAUCCACUCUGAAAACAGCUGGGUAAUUUCUUAAGCAGAAAUGUUGUGUUCAAGACAUAGAAACUAGGUAGUUUUAACCAAACACUGGGCCUAGCAUCAAGACCAGGUUUGUUGGGUUAAGCUAGCAGGAGCCUCAUCACUCUUCACAGACCGCCAUUUUGAGCUAAACAGCAUGGUCAACAAAGAGACGCAACCGCGAGUUAAAAGGUGAAAACAGUACGAUGGAGUUUUGGAUUGAACUACUUAUUGCAAAGAUUUGUUAUCUUUCCACCGAAGCACAACCAGUUCAUAGCUAACUUUUUAAAAUUAACUUUGAAACAAAAUCCUGAAUAUGAAAACCUGGAAAACUGAAACGUUUUGGUUUCAGACAACAAUAGAUUUUCUUUAACAUUUUUAUGAUGACGUGGAUUUUUACAUUUCAAUCGUGAUUAGUCAAAGUGCUAGAGUACAAUUAAUUUAAUUUAAAAGAAAUUAAUUGAUUGACAGCACUACUUUUAACAUAUUUUGGGUAAAAUUAACGCUGGUGCUAACCCAUAACCAAACAUCUUGCGCUAAAUCAAUUCAUUGACGCAGGACUCCGUUAACAACCUAAAUUGGGUCUAUUUAAACCCAGCAGUUUAAAGAGUGUAGAUGAAUGGAGCAUCGAAUAAGUUGUUCUGCCUUUGCUUUGUUUUGUUGUUGUUGUUUAAUUGUUAUUUUUAACCAAAGCUUCAGUUCCAGUCAGCAUCUGAAUGGGAGCUUGAGGCCCUUCGGUUCGGGGGUCACAAUCUGACCAUGGAUACAGCACAGGUGGACACCUAUGACGAGGUUAAACGUGUUGUCGAGGCUGUUUUUCCAUAUAGAGAAUAUCGAAGGUGCUCCUCAGCCUUGCUUCGUGUGUAUGGCUGCUACUACAACACAGGAACAACUCACAAAAGUCAAACACUGAAUGUUCCCCCCGCAGGGUUUUUUCUUUUGUUUUUUAUAUGAUUCAUCAUUAACAGCUUUGACAGUGAAAACAAACAGAACUGAAACCCCAACAAACGUGCAGAGACGGCACAUGCACACGUGUCCUCACACACACACACACACACACACACAUUCACAUGUACAAUGUAUUAUUCACACAGAAAGAAACAAACAAAAAAAACACGCUUAUACGCACUUAUACUAAGAUACAACUUCUGUUCCUAAGAGAACAUCAACACUCAGCAGGGGAGAGGGGGACGUGGGCAUUAUACAAUAAAUUAAUACAAUACUAAAUCAAACUCAGCCUACAUAUAGGCAAAUUAAUCCCUCCCCCAAAAACACACACACACAAAAACACACGCACACACACACACACGCAUACACUCCCAUGCAAUAAAAGCAGCUUAUGUGGCAUGCUGCGUUUUGGAAUGAGUAGGGCAGUAUGACUGCUGAGCCUAUUUUUUAUUUGUUUUUUAUUUGUGUUUUUUAUUUGUUUUGUUUUUUGUUUUUUUAUGUAGAAGCAGUGACUGGGUGUGCUGGUUGAACUGCAGGGGUUGUAGGUAGAAGAGGGGUAGGGAGGGUGGGGGUAUCAGGGUAGUAGACCUGCUAAGCGAACCUGGAUCACAGGCGAGCAACAAGCG